rnacentral:lncRNA from 1 species
CAAAAUGAAAAUAAUAUUUAACCAACAUUCUCAAUCAAAUUUCCGCUCAAAAGGAAUACACAAUAAUUUCAUAUUGACAAAUAAAAUUUUGAAGCAUAUCAUGUCAUACAAAUACAUUCUUCAUCUACAUUUUCCUUGAUUUUUGAGUGCAAUACAUUUGAUUUGAACUCUUAUAAUAAACAAAUUAAAUUAUAAAAAACACGAAUGAAAUGCGAAACUUUAAUAAUCAACACACACCAAUCAAAUUAAAGAAUUUUAUCAUGCCGGUUCUUGUUGAACUCCCAUACGUGAGAUCGAGCACAACACAUCCAAUAGNNNN